rnacentral:rRNA from 1 species
UACAGAGGUCUCAAGCGUUGUUCGGAUUCAUUGGGCGUAAAGGGCGUGUAGGCGGGAAGGUAAGUCGGGCGUGAAAUCCCUGGGCUCAACCCAGGAACUGCACUCGAAACUACUUUUCUUGAGUGCCGGAGAGGAAAGCGGAAUUCCUGGUGUAGAGGUGAAAUUCGUAGAUAUCAGGAGGAACACCAGUGGCGAAGGCGGCUUUCUGGACGGUAACUGACGCUGAGACGCGAAAGCGUGGGGAGCAAACAGG